rnacentral:tRNA from 1 species
GACUGGCUGGCUCAGUUGUUAGAGCAUGAGACUCUUGAUCUCAGGGUCGUGAGUUCAAACCUCACAUUGGGCA